rnacentral:rRNA from 1 species
UGGGGAAUAUUGGACAAUGGGCGCAAGCCUGAUGCAGCCAUGCCGCGUGUAUGAAGAAGGCCUUCGGGUUGUAAAGCACUUUAAGCGAGGAGGAGGCUACUUGGAUUAAUACUCUAGGAUAGUGGACGUUACUCGCAGAAUAAGCACCGGCUAACUCUGUG